CCACAAUCAGCAUGCGCUCUUUUUUGUAUAUAUUUUUUUUCGCAUAAAUAUGCACAAAAGUAAAUCAAAACAUGCUAACCAAUUGUUUGACUAAGUAAGCACGUUCAUUAUUUCUCUACCGUCUCAAUCAGCGCGCUUAGUUUGCUCACUGUUUGUUUCUACUUGUAUACUGAUUUAUAAAAAUUAAAAUGGCAGAGAGCUCGGCUGAUGAAUUUUUCCAGGAGCUGGACAAUUUUGAGUUACAAAUGCCGGGAGCUCAGAGAGUUCCAUUUAAAGACAACGAAAGUCUGGUUAGGAUGUUCCGUUCCCAAUACCCUAACUGGAAAGAAGAAGGAAACGUAACUUCGGUUCCAGUUGCCAGAGUACCCAGACUGUUUCUGCAAAACACACAAAUGUCCAAAAAACUGCAAGAUAGCUUCAAAUAUUUGCAAAAAGGAGAAACCGGAGAAACUAAGGUCUACAGAUUGCUUUUGCACGAAACGGAUCCAAAUCAGGAAGGUAUGAUGGUCUUUCCGAAUGUUAAUCCUCAAGAAAUUUUCAAAAGUAAAAGUGCAGACGUCGAAAUUGACAUGUUGGUAGCUCACCCAACCAAAGGGUUUCUCGUGCUCAAUAUUAAAAAGCCAGGAGGGAAAGGCCUGACUCCACAAAAAUUACAAGAUGACAUUGAGCGUCAUGAUACUUUCAUUCGAAAGCUGAUGCAGUAUGGACAAGAUGAACCAGUAGACCCAAUUCCCAUUCAUUCAGUUAUUUGUCUACUACACGAUGACAACAAAGAAAGAUUUGUCACACUCACAAAAUCAGCCGGACAGCAAAAUCGGAUUUUAAUGCUCCGCAAAAGCGAUUUAACAAAAGAUAACUUUGCGAAGCAAUGGAAACUAAAUCUCGAAAAGCUUCCAAAUUUCGAUCCUAGCAAAAAAAACGUGUUUGAAAUAGCUUUAGCAAGAUUGGUCACACUUAGCUCGUUGGAGAGCUCUGCUGCAUUGAUUCAUGAGCAGUUAAUUUUCAACUGUAGCAUGCAGGCUAUCAACAAAACCAAAGGCCAAUUUUGUGAAAAAACAUUUGAUGCCUUUGAUCCCCUUACAAAAUUACACCUUGAAACCGCUUCAAAAAUAAAAAUGACAAAAACAAAGACACUCAUUGUAAAAAAAGAAAAACCGGAAAAAAGUGAAACUGAAAGAAACGAUGUUGAAAAAAUGACAGAUGAUCAUAAAAAAAGUGGAAGUCAAGAAAAAGAAACUGAUGAAACAGAAAAAAAUGAUGACAAAGCGUGGCGAUUUCGGAGUACUCAAGAUGAAUCUAAAGACAAAGCUACAGAUGAAGCAGAAGAAGCUAAAUGUCAAAAAGUCGAAAUUGAAAGUCCGAAAACUGCAGAAUUGACAAUUGAAGACAAAACGGGUAGCAAAACAUCAGUUGUUGUUUUGGAUGACGACAAACUGGAAGCUAAAGCUGGGGAACUUAAACAUUUGGCAGAAGAAUUCAAAAAUCUGAAUUUGAAAGGCGACGGAACGUAUAAAACAGAAUUUCAAGGAAACGAAAAAAAGAGAUUCAUAAUUUGGACAGUAGAGCAGCUGGAAAUAAUAGCCAAAGUGGUCAGGCAUCUGCAAAAUCCUACUGAAAACGGCUAUUUAAGACUACUAGUGACUGGCUGCAAAGGAUCCGGAAAAACGAUGCUGAUGGUUUUUCUUGCAAGCGUCGCAAAGAUUAUUCUAGAACAGCCUGUCUGCGACUCUCAGUUUCAGAACGAAGUGGUCGCAGUCGCUGGCUUCCAUUCGCACUUGCUACUUGCAGAUAUUUUGAAGCAUCUUCUUACGCCAUAUGGAGUAACCGUUUUACAUCCAAUAGAUUUUCUUAAAGAAUUUCAACGUAAAAACAGCUUCUACCACCGUCCAGUUCAUGAGCUCCAGGAUUAUGCGAGUGAGCGGAUCGGAGUUGAACAAAGACAAUCAAGGCUUGUGAUGAGCGACGAGUUCAUCAUGAAAAAAGAAAAUUGUAGAAGAAGUGCCAAAAAAACAAAGCCAGUCAUAGAAGGUGCAUCUCUUAUUUGCGUGGACAGUUUGGCAAAAAAUCAACAUUGUAUCUUGUUCACGUCAAUUCCUCAUCUUUCGGAAAAAUUUAAGAUCGAGCAUCCUGUGUUUCAGCACAAAGCUCUAUCUGUAUCUCUGAGGUCAACAACCGAGGUAGCUAAUUUUGCUAACGAUUGGAUGAAAAUUUACAAAUUUCAUCCCAAUAAUUUGGAAUGCAAACCUGGUCAUAACUUUUACGGCGAGAAACCAGAGAUUUGUCUUGUACCCUUCAUUGCUGAUCAAAAGUUUUCGGAUCCAUUGUCUGAUUUUAUCGAUAAGUGCAUUUCCACAAUCUUACACUAUGUCAAUAGACACGGUUAUGACUUUUUACCUGUAGUGGCGGACAUACAGGAUGAGUUAUUAAAUCGUGUUAUAGCCGGCUUAGCCGUCAAAAGUAACCCAAAGCAAAUUUUUCGCAAAAAAUAUGCGCCUGAUUGUUUUUUUCAAAUGAUUGAAAGUGAGUCACCAUCUGUUUGGUUCUUUAAUACCCAUGAAGUAGAAGGAGCCGAAUUCCCAAUAGUUAUUCUUCUAAUGUGCUCCACAUACAACGAGAGAGAUAUUAAAAAUACACUUGAUUUCUUUUCUGCCAUCACAAGAGCAACGAAAAAACUAGUUAUUGUUCGAGGCACUGGUUUUCCUAAACUUGAUAUUCAAAAAGAAGAAUUUGCGCAAAUGAUGGGAAUUAGAGAGCAAUUGGAAAACGCAUUCAACUCUUCUGGAAUGGAUAAAAUUGUCAUCAUAGGUGUCAUUCAAAAAUUCAUGCCAUUUAAAAAGAAAUUGAUUUCAGAUCAAACAAUCGGACAUCCAAACGUCGAAUCAAUUCAGUUCUUUGAGGGACCAGGAGGUAAGCUGGUUUACCAAUUGGAUGACAUCUACAGAAAAGAAGAUGUAAAAGAACUAAUACGUUAUGGAAUUACAGAUGUGAUUAUUGUGGGCGAUACUGAAAAUUUCCAUGAUCUUACAGCGACAUUUUAUUCUCAAACAAAAAGUUUAUUAGAUCUUCAUCGCGGAACUUUCGCUUUUAAAACUAUUGACCAUUACGAACGUUUCUUUUAUGAUUUGUAUAAUGUUUCCAAUUUCAAUAAGUUUCUCAAAGAAAAAGCCAAGAAAAAAGAGCAAACAGCAGCGGAAGUAAUAUUUGGAAAAAAAACUGAAGUCCCAACAUCCGGACCCAGCAGCAAGUGGGCGAAUUGGAAGGGAAAAGCAACCGAGCUCUAUCGUUUUAGAGAUCAUGUGAGUGCACUCAAAACGUACGAAAACAGUUUUUUCUUGCUAGCUCGAGAACAAAACGAUCACAUCGAAAAAGCAGACUUUAGGACGGCUUUCAACGAUCAAAAAGAAAUGGCUAAAUUACAAACAAAUAUUUGCAAAAUGAUUUUAUGUUGUUUGGAAGAAGACAAAUUUGAAGGCGACUUGGAGGAGGAAUCUUUUCAAUCUGGUAUUUAUUAUGCAGUUUUUGCUGCAUGUGAAGCCAUCAAACUUAACCCUUACUGGGAUCGAAGCUACAGACGACUCAACGAAAUAAAACAAACUGUAAAUCGUAUGGUUGAAAAAGAAAACAAGCAAUUUCAUGAAACAAACGCAUACAUUCAAAAACUGAUUGAGCAAGAUGUGUGGCGAGGAAAAACAAAUGGCUUACGCUGCUAUGACCAUGACUCGCUCAAAGUGGGCGACGCUGCUUUUCUAGAUCGACUUAAAGAAAUUGAAAAGAAACGAAGCGAUUAUGCGCAAGCUGUCCGGUCGGGUUCCAAAAGUUUGCAGUUGGGAAAUAUGGUUGCUCAACGAAUUCAUUUGGCUGAAAGUAUCUCCAACUUAGCGAAGGAAAAUUUGACAGCUUUAAAAAGUUCUGAGCCUAAUGCGGUUGAUAUCAAAUCCCGUGGGUACU